AACGUAGGUGGCGAGCGUUAUCCGGAUUUACUGGGCGUAAAGCGCGUUCAGGCGGCCUAGCAAGUCGGGCAUGAAAUCUCUCGGCUCAACCGGGAGAGGCUGUCCGAAACUGCCGGGCUUGAGGGCAGCAGAGGCGGGUGGAAUUCCCGGUGUAGUGGUGAAAUGCGUAGAGAUCGGGAGGAACACCAGUGGCGAAGGCGGCCCGCUGGACUGCCCCUGACGCUGAAACGCGAAAGCUCGGGGAGCGAACGGG
rnacentral:rRNA from 1 species